UACGGAGGGUGCAAGCGUUAUCCGGAUUCACUGGGUUUAAAGGGUGCGUAGGAGGGCAGGGAAGUCAGUGGUGAAAUCCUAGGGCUUAACCCUAGAACUGCCGUUGAUACUCUCUGUCUUGAAUACCGUGGAGGUGAGCGGAAUAUGUCAUGUAGCGGUGAAAUGCUUAGAUAUGACAUAGAACACCAAUUGCGAAGGCAGCUCACUACACGCCUAUUGACUCUGAGGCACGAAAGCGUGGGGAU
rnacentral:rRNA from 1 species